rnacentral:rRNA from 1 species
UGCUCAGGUGGUCUUGCAAGUCAGAGGUGAAAGCCCCGGGCUUAACUCGGGAACUGCCCCUGAUACUGUAAGGCUUGAGUACGGAAGAGGUUGAUGGAAUUUCUGGUGUAGCAGUGAAAUGCGUAGAUAUCAGAAAGAACACCAGUGGCGAAGGCGGUCAACUGGUCCGGUACUGACACUAAAGCACGAAAGUGUGGGGAGCAAACA